UGAUGCAGCAACGCCGCGUGAGUGAUGACGGUCUUCGGAUUGUAAAGCUCUGUCUUUGGGGACGAUAAUGACGGUACCCAAGGAGGAAGCCACGGCUAACUACGUGCCAGCAGCCGCGGUAAUACGUAGGUGGCGAGCGUUGUCCGGAUUUACUGGGCGUAAAGGGAGCGUAGGCGGAUUUUUAAGUGGGAUGUGAAAUACCCGGGCUCAACCUGGGUGCUGCAUUCCAAACUGGGAAUCUAGAGUGCAGGAGGGGAGAGUGGAAUUCCUAGUGUAGCGGUGAAAUGCGUAGAGAUUAGGAAGAACACCAGUGGCGAAGGCGACUCUCUGGACUGUAACUGACGCUGAGGCUCGAAAGCGUGGGGAGCAAACAGGAUUAGAUACCCCGGUAG
rnacentral:rRNA from 1 species